rnacentral:tRNA from 2 species
GACACGUUAAUGCGUAUUACUCCAGCAUUGUUAGUGGAUUAACUGCCAAAGUUUUCAGAACAUAUCUUGCAACUACAAUGGUGAAAAAUUAUCUCAAAGAGCAUGAUAACGUAAAG